GAAAUUGAUCUGGUUUUGAAACUUUAAUUAAAAUAAAAAAAAAGAAACUGAUGAUCCUCUUCUGAGCUCACUGUCACCACCGUCAUUCCUCCCUCGCCGUGUCUCCAUUGAAACCCUGCCAUGAGAAACCUA